rnacentral:rRNA from 1 species
UAGUCAUAUGCUUGUCUCAAAGAUUAAGCCAUGCAUGUCUAAGUAUAAACAACUUUAUACUGUGAAACUGCGAACGGCUCAUUACAUCAGCAAUAAUUUAUUUGAUGGUUCCUUACUACAUGGAUAACUGUAGUAAUUCUAGAGCUAAUACAUGCGCAAAGUCCCGACUCUCGCGGGGAGGGAUGUAUUUAUUAGAUAAAAAACCAAUGGGCUUCGGUCCUUUUGUGUUGAAUCAUAGUAACUUAUCGGACGGCAUAGCUUUACGCUGGCCGCAGAU